AUGAUUUUUAAUAUUUGUGAAUUUACUACAAACAAAAAUUUAAUUUUAUAGUCAAAAAUAAAAAAAAAGAUUA
rnacentral:misc_RNA from 1 species